rnacentral:rRNA from 1 species
AUUGAACGCUGGCGGCAGGCCUAACACAUGCAAGUCGAACGAGGGGCGGACGGGUGAGUAAUGUCUGGGAAACUGCCUGAUGGAGGGGGAUAACUACUGGAAACGGUAGCUAAUACCGCAUACCAUCAGAUGCGCCCAGAUGGGAUUAGCUUGUUGGGGGGGUAACGGCGCACCAAGGCGACGAUCCCCAGCUGGGCGGAGAGGAUGACCAGCAACACGGGAACUGAGAAGCGGUGCAGACUCGUAAGGGAGGCACCAGGGGGGAACAUUGCACAAUGGGCGCAAGCCUGAUGCAGCCAGGCCGCGUGUAUGAAGAAGGCCGUCGGGUUGUAAAGUACUUUCAGCGGGGAGGCGUUACCCGCAGAAGAAGCACCGGCUAACUCCGUGCCAGCAGCCGCGGUAAUAC